rnacentral:lncRNA from 1 species
CGAGCAAUUUUCUCUUCUCUUCCAGUUCUUGCACUCUUUUUUCCCCUUCCGUCUCUUUUACCCCUCCUUUGGCUUUUUCCCCCCUUCACUUUCCUUUUUUUCCCCUGCUUUGUUUAAAAAAAAAAACCGGCGCAAAUCAUGCACAAUAUUGUCUUUUGCGGUUUAUCUUCCUGGGGAGAAACUUUCACCUCCUCAGCCGGGCGGUGAACGCGAGACUGAUAGCGGCAAUCAUUCCUGCAGAUAAAUGAAUUGAAAAGACGACACCGUCCCCCCCUUGAUGAAUGGGAGAAGGAGGCGGAGCUACGUGAAGACCGACGUCUCUGCUGAUUGGCUCUUCGCUGUUCCCACUUGUGCUUGUUACUCCCUCCUUUCUCUCCAAGUAAGGGUGCGCAAAACCUCUCCUGCAUCCUGAUUGGCCAGCUCAGCUCAUCAAUCCCAGGUAUUGUGAAACGCAUUGACAUCGCUUUUGACGAACAAGCUUGCACAGGAGUAGCAACUUUUUAUAUAUAUAUAAACACAAAAAAUAUAUUUUUUUCGGCUCCAAAAUACUUCAAAGGUCUCUUUUCUAUAGUGCUUUUGUGGAGACAGAGAAAGAUGUAGAUGUUAUUCCUGUGACUAACUUUGACUUCUUUCGCUUACGCUGGCGGUGAUGGUUGCCUGGCGAUCAAGACCUUUGAACAACACAACUUUUUUAAGGGGUUUGAACAAGGAACCAAGUCAGAAAAUAAGCUGCAAGUUUCCCCUUGAGGAAAAGAAAAGAGCUUUACAGAAAUCUUCCAAAACACUCCAAGAACCCGGCUCCAUUGGCCGGGAGAUGAGGAAGAAGACAACAUCUGCCAAACAUUCUACAAAGCCAAGUCUGCAAAGGCUUACAGAUGUCACUUCCACUGGCUCUCGGAUAGGAGUCAAAAAAACAAACAAAAAAACACCUUGGCUUUCUGGAAAUAGCAGUGAAAGUUUGCCUUGGGGGAAUUUCAAAUCUGCCUCUGGCUACGGGCCCUGA